UUGCUUCGACAGCACGUAUACUAAAAUUGGAACGAUACAGAGAAGAAUAGCAUGGCCCCUGCACGUAAGUUACAGAAUGAGGAAGACGUGCAUCCAACAAAU
rnacentral:snRNA from 1 species